UACCACAAGGCAACUUGUGUGUGU
rnacentral:piRNA from 1 species